rnacentral:lncRNA from 1 species
CUCACCUCUGCAAAAUCAUCCAAAUACAUAUAUGUAAAGACAUCACUUGUUCAUUGUUCUUUGCUGUAGCCAAUUUAAUCUGGAGAGGUGUUGUGUUUAUAAUCACACUUUAAAAUAAGCCGACAAAUAUAGUCAGUUGCUGCAUGGACUUCAUUAGUAUUAUCACUCAGUGUGCUGUGUUGUAUCAAGCAUAAAUGCUUCCCUGGCUUCAUGAAAUACUGUCAUACCUCAAAAUCUAAUAGAUAAAAGAGAUAAAUUCAUUAUAGCUGAAUUGGAGUAAGGAAUCUGUUAUGCCUGUCUGUAAACUACAAAAGCACAUAUAACUGCACACGGAAUCCUUGAAGAUAGCCUUUGUCUAGUAUUUAAGAGUGUUAAAGCAUCUCAUACUGAGAACGCAACUUAAGAACUUGUACAAGUCAACAGCUGUGACCUCAGUCAAGCAGGCAACUGAGUUUUCAGAUAGCAAGCUGUGCCUCAUUCUUCUUUGGCCAGAGCUAUGUAUAUUUAAUUAGUGUCCUCUCACCUUCACGCUACAUGUUUUCCCACUUGACAGUUCCUGGCAUCAAAAGAAUGUCCUUGAGAAAAAGUCAGUCCUAUUGACUCCUAAGCAUAUUAUUUGACUUGCUGUUCAAGUAGUCUGAAGAAAGAGCUGGAAAUAAUGAAAGACACUGCAAUGUGGAGCUGCCUUAACUGACAGUGUCAGGUCAUAAUGUCAAUCAGUGCCAAAGAGAAGGAGGUUACUGACUGAUUAAUGAAUAUGUAUGGAUCCAAAUGGUAAAGGAGCUCCUGACGGGAUCUGAGGCACCUGUUUUUCACUGUUGUAGCAGAAAUGUUAAGUCACAGCCUGAACCAGUGAUUGAGCACCUGGUGGGAAGGCAGGGCCAACCCAGGGGAGCUCAGGUGCAUGCAAUGAACCUGAGUGAGCAGAAGGGGUGCAGGCAGGAUCCGCCCCUUCCCAGACUUCAUUUAAAGGUUGGCAGUGGAGGCAAGGGUAUCUUGCUGAAGAUUGCUGCAUAUCUCAGGUCUUCCUAAGGUAAGCAGUUUUCCUUUCUUUGUUUUUGCUUCCAUAUCUGCUUCAUCUGGGCUUGUUCUCGUUUGCUAUAGACUAGGAUUGUGCUACUCUGCUGUUAUUGCUAUACUUUCCAUCACAUUAUAGCAUUACAAUUGUCACCAGCUGUUAAUUCAACUCCUAUACUGUUGUGUCAUGCUCACACCUCAGUGCUGUAAAAUUAC